UCUCUCUCAGGCACAUACCCUGUGCCAAGCAUAUGAGAAAUUCGGAGUAAUCUUCACCACAAACAAGCCCCACCCCGGCGUGCUCUCUGCACGCUGGGGCACCCGGGUUCUGCCUGUGAGGGCCUGGCGCGACCUCCGCGUCUGCAAUUGGCAUCAGAAAAGCAGGGGGAGGGGAGCUGGCUUUUCUUCCGGAAGAGUCGGACCCCCUUUCACCCUUUGGGAGAGUCGUUGCGAAGAUUGUGUGUCGAAACACUUGAGUGCAAUACGCGGCGUGCCUCGGCCUUCUCUCCUUCGGGGGGCGAAGGCUGAGGUAUAAUUCAAUUCCGAUCAUUCUGGUGGGGA
rnacentral:RNase_P_RNA from 2 species